rnacentral:misc_RNA from 1 species
UCUCCGUGGGUGAACCUGCGGAGGGAUCAUUACAGAGUUCAUGCCCUACCGGGUAGAUCUCCCACCCUAUGUUAUUAUUACUUUGUUGCUUUGGCGGGCCGUUAGGCUCCGGCCCGACUACCGGCCCCGGCUGGUAAGCGCCCGCCAGAGGACCCAAAACCCUGAAUAUUAGUGUCGUCUGAGUACUAUAUAAUAGUCAAAACUUUCAACAACGGAUCUCUUGGUUCUG